CUAGCUGCUGCAACUCAGUUACUUACUCCAAGGAAAGACCUUUUUUUCUUCAUUCUGAGCAUCAAAAACACAGUGUAUUCUGGGAUGUGGUACAUGCAAGAACGUAUGGUACCUUCAGAGAAGCAAUGUAGUGUUGCCAAUGGGAUUUUGGCCAAGGCUGGAGUCAGUCUAGAGGAUGCAAAGAAGCCCAGCCCUCCCUUGUACUUCAGUGAUGCCUUGGGAAGACCCCCCUUUGAUUAGCUACUUCUCUUACCUGCCUCCUAGGGUAGAGCAACCCUUCAAGGCUACUGUAUGGAGGAAGACCUAGUUCUUCUCCCUCCACUCAGCAGCUCGGCAACAUCCGCACUCGAGGAGGGACCUGAGGGAGCUCAGGGAAGCCAUGUUCUUCCUCCCCUUUGAGCAAUGAAAACGGCUUCUCCUUCCCCUUCAGCACCUGCCUUCGGAGGGCAGAAAACGUUAAGCCGCCUGGGACAACCUGGAAGGAGAAGGGCACCCCUCCUCAUCUCCCCCCAAGCCUGCCAAAGCAGCAUGAAGAGCCUCAGGAACAGCAGAGUUUGCCACAAGGCCUCAGGAGAACUAACGGAAUGACACUACGGGCGGUUAUGAAGCUGGUGUGCAAUGAGCGGCUUGGAAGGGAUGUACGUGACUUGCUCAUCUCGCUAAACUCGGCCUCUUGCUAGUGAUUUCAGCAGGAGCAGAAGCAGAUCCUGAGAGGAAGGAAGUUGUGCAGAUGAGUAAGGGGAAAGAAGAGAGCAACAAGGAGAAGGAGGAGCAUGCAGGAACUGCCAUCUUGGAUCAGAUCUGUGAUCCAUCUAAUCUACUGUCUUGCUGCUGCUCCAAGAGAGUUUCUUCCCAGCAGUGAGGGGUUUUUGCCCCGAGGCAUGAGUGUUUACAGUCUUUCCAUCCAGAUGAGCCAAUUGCCUAACACUUCAAAAUACUGACAUGAGUAGGAGUUGAUGGAGUUUGGCUUAGGAUCAAAGAAGUGGAAACAGAGGAUGAGAUCAAGACGUGGAAGGAAAAUUGGAGGGUUUGCCCUAGGAGUGAAAGGAAGUCAAGCUGUCUGGCCCUAAGAAUGGGCACUCGACAGAUGGGAGUGCCUGGUCCCAGUGACAAAACCAAGUUGAGCACUGCCAUCCACAGUGCUAUGUGAUAUGCAAGCUCCCCCAAACGGGGACAUGAAGACCAUAACCUCAACUGGUCUCCACCCACAUAGCUACAGGAACAAGCCAGCCACAGUGAGGCAAGCAACCUUUGUGAGAGAGCACAGUAGAUGUCUUCCCAUGGCAUCCUCAGGAGCACCAGCAGGCAUUGGAGAACUAAGCAGCACACUUGGGCAUUGCAGUUCUGCCCAGGGAUGCAGAAAGCACCGGAGGCUUUUUUUUGUUCAAAUGCAGGCAGCAUUCCUCUGCCUGACUCGCAGGUUCUACUUCACUGCUGGCAUCCUGGUAUAACUGCUUCUGAGACAAACGCAUCUACCCUUCCGGACAGACUAUUUCCCUGUUCUGGGAGUUGGGCUGUCGAUAUGUCAAACCAAAGACACUGCAUCUUUGAAGAAACUGAUUGUCAGCUUGCCUGAUGAAAAAUGACAGAACUGUCAUCACUAGUUAGGUGGUCAUGUUGGGUCAUCUUAGACCCAGGAGGUGCCUUUGCUCCAGACCUUUAUAGUUCCUUGUGUUCCAUUAUGGCCUUAGAAAUGUUUAGCGCACACAGCCUCAGUGGUUGUAUAGGUGGUGUCUCUGCAGACAGACAAAUAUACUUUCAGAGACCUGUGGGUUUUUUUUCUGUCAUUAGCUGGAUUUAGAGACAAAUUGCAAAUGUGAAAUCUUUUGCUUUCAUGUACUCUGUGGAAAGAACAAAGAUUGAACGAGAUAGGCAGGAAACUCAGAGGGGUGCUGAGCUGGUUGACAGGACAGGAUGAUUAGAAGUCUGGUGCACAGUAGAGAUAAAUCACUUCAAGUAAUAAACAAACAAGGAUUAGAAAAGCCUUCAUCAGUAAAAACUGAGCUGGUUUCUGAAUAGUUUUGCUCAGAUUAGUGACAUGAGAUUCUAUCAAUCAGAAUACAAAGAGAGGGUGAAGAUAGCACAUAGCACUACAUGAAGAAUAAAGACACACAGGUAAUUAGCCAGCAUACAGUAUUUUGUGGAUUAGUAAUGUGUUAGGACACCAGAGUUCCUACUGGGACUCUUUUUGGGGAGUAAAGCACUGGAUUGGUUUUAGGUUUAGUUUUCUCAUUUUCACCUUUGAUCUCUGUAUGACUGAAUUUAUUGAGGACAUUCAGGAUCCACUGCUUUGAAAAACAGUUUUGCUCAUGUUUUGUGCCUUGGUCUAGUUUCCUAGGGCCAGGGGAACCUACAAGGGGGGAAAAAAAAGCUGUCUCUGUCCCCUCUUCCUUCCCAAGAAUUUCUCCCAACUUUUGUGGAGAUUUGUUCCCAGAUUGCAUUUGAUUUUUUUUUUUUUUCUUCAAUCCUCGGGUUUUGUGUUAACCCAAUGUGUUUUGUCAAUGUGUUUUGUGUUUUCAAUGUGAAAAACACAUUGUGUUAGGCCUGCUGUGGACUUAUGCGUUCUAGUAGUAAAAUG